AUUGAACGCUGGCGGCAGGCCUAACACAUGCAAGUCGAGCGGAUGAAGGGAGCUUGCUCCUGGAUUCAGCGGCGGACGGGCGAGUAAUGCCUAGGAAUCUGCCUGGUAGUGGGGGAUAACGUCCGGAAACGGGCGCUAAUACCGCAUACGUCCUGAGGGAGAAAGUGGGGGAUCUUCGGACCUCACGCUAUCAGAUGAGCCUAGGUCGGAUUAGCUAGUUGGUGGGGUAAAGGCCUACCAAGGCGACGAUCCGUAACUGGUCUGAGAGGAUGGUCAGUCACACUGGAACUGAGACACGGUCCAGACUCCUACGGGAGGCAGCAGUGGGGAAUAUUGGACAAUGGGCGAAAGCCUGAUCCAGCCAUGCCGCGUGUGUGAAGAAGGUCUUCGGAUUGUAAAGCACUUUAAGUUGGGAGGAAGGGCAGUAAGUUAAUACCUUGCUGUUUUGACGUUACCAACAGAAUAAGCACCGGCUAACUUCGUG
rnacentral:rRNA from 1 species